GUUUUACAAUAUAAAUAUUGCUUUAAAACUUUGUAACCAGCUUGGAACAUUUCUCUUCCAUGAAACAAACUAUCUUCAUUAUCCCAAAUGCCUUUUCCUUAACACUCACAGGACCAGCAUUUACAUUUUCACUUCUGCGCUGUUUAGUAGCAGAAAAUAGCCUGGCUGGGCGAUGGACUGCAGGAUUCCUGGCCGUUUCUUGCAGUUUUUGGGAAGGUCCUCACAAGAACGUGUAGGAAAUGCAAACUGAGUGCUGCACAGAGACUUGCCUGUGCUUUUCCUUCUUGUUCUGAAGAAGCAGAGAGGUGGCAGGGGAUGCCUUGCAGCAGUGAUGCUCUGGGAGGAGAGGGAGCUGAACAUGAGCUUCUGCAGCGCGUUGUAGAAACUGCUUUGGCUGCUCUGAGGCGCAGAUGGGAAAGGCACAAGGCCCUGCAGCCUCCUUGGCGAUUCUCUGUACCACGGGACCACCACAUUCUCCCUCUUCGGUCACAAAAGUCAAGCUUCAGAAAAUUUCCCAUCAGAAACCAUCCUCCGAACCAUUAUAAUUCUAUAGGAGAAGCUGGGUACAGCAGCACAGUAUAUUUUAAUGACAAUACGUUGUGCUGGAAAUGUUCUGACCAGCAGGCUUCCUAGUGCAACUUCAAAAUGAUGCAGACAGCCUCAGGAAAAUCAAAUGUAGGAGUUUUGCCAGCUAGUGACCAUGUAAGUGAAACACUCAAUUUUUGCCUUUGCCUCCCUGAGAGUAAAUAGUGAACUAAUGUUACCAGUCGUCAGCUGGAAAAUAAACUCUUUAAAAAAGUGAUGCA
rnacentral:lncRNA from 1 species